rnacentral:misc_RNA from 1 species
GAUCAUUAAAUAAUUUGAUAUUCUGAAAAAUUUAUUUUUUUCAGUAAUAUUCUAUUUUACUGUGAACUGUAUUAUUACGAGAUGCCUGAGGGAUGCUUACCUGGACUAUAAGGAUAGGUCUGGUAGGAUGUUAACCGAGUCUCGAUCAAGCUUUCUUUUUUAAGCUUGGUAUCCUAUUAUUAUUUACCAAAAGAAUUCAGUAUAAAAUAUUGUAACAUAGACCUAAAAAAUCUAUAAAAACAACUUUUAACAACGGAUCUCUUGGUUCUCGCAUCGAUGAAGAACGUAGCAAAGUGCGAUAACUAGUGUGAAUUGCAUAUUCAGUGAAUCAUCGAGUCUUUGAACGCAUCUUGCGCUCAUUGGUAUUCCAAUGAGCACGCCUGUUUCAGUAUCAGAAACACCCCACAUUCAAAAUCUUUUUUUUUUUUUUGAAUGGAACUGAGCGACUACGGUCUUUUUUUUUAAGACUGUUCGCUUUAAAAAUAUUAGGCCUGGAAUUUAGUAUUUUCUUGAAUUUGCCUGAACUUUUUUUUUAAUAUAAAGGAAAAGCUCUGGGUCAAACCUAUGGAAGACUAAAAGCUUUUGGGGCCUCUCAAAUAAAACUUU